UACGAACUGUGCGAACGUUAUUCGGAAUCACUGGGCUUACAGGGUGCGUAGGUGGCCGGACAAGUCAGGUGUGAAAUCCCUCAGCUCAACUGAGGAACUGCGCUUGAAACUGUUUGGCUAGAGUGAGCUAGGGGUGCUUGGAACUGCCAGUGGAGCGGUGAAAUGUGCUGAUAUUGGCAGGAACACCGGAGCCGAAAGGGAAGCACUGGGGCUUAACUGACACUGAGGCACGAAAGCCAGGGGAGCAAACGGG
rnacentral:rRNA from 1 species